GAUCCUGGCUCAGGAUGAACGCUAGCGGCAGGCUUAACACAUGCAAGUCGAGGGGUAUUGGUUUUCGGACCAAGAGACCGGCGCACGGGUGCGUAACGCGUAUGCAAUCUACCUUUUGCAGAGGGAUAGCCCAGAGAAAUUUGGAUUAAUACCUCAUAGUAUAGUACUUUGGCAUCAAGGAACUAUUAAAGUCACAACGGCAAAAGAUGAGCAUGCGUCCCAUUAGCUAGUUGGUAAGGUAACGGCUUACCAAGGCUACGAUGGGUAGGGGUCCUGAGAGGGAGAUCCCCCACACUGGUACUGAGACACGGACCAGACUCCUACGGGAGGCAGCAGUGAGGAAUAUUGGACAAUGGGCGCAAGCCUGAUCCAGCCAUGCCGCGUGCAGGAUAACGGUCCUAUGGAUUGUAAACUGCUUUUAUACAGGAAGAAACACUCCGACGUGUCGGAGCUUGACGGUACUGUAAGAAUAAGGAUCGGCUAACUCCGUG
rnacentral:rRNA from 1 species